rnacentral:rRNA from 1 species
GACAGAGGGUGCAAACGUUGCUCGGAAUCACUGGGCGUAAAGGGCGUGUAGGCGGGAAGGCAAGUCAGAUGUGAAAGCCCUGGGCUCAACCCAGGAACUGCAUUUGAAACUCCCUUUCUUGAGUGUCGGAGAGGAAAGCGGAAUUCCUGGUGUAGAGGUGAAAUUCGUAGAUAUCAGGAGGAACACCGGUGGCGAAGGCGGCUUUCUGGACGACAACUGACGCUGAGACGCGAAAGCGUGGGGAGCAAACAGG